rnacentral:rRNA from 1 species
AUUGAACGCUGGCGGCAGGCCUAACACAUGCAAGUCGAGCGGAUGAAGGGAGCUUGCUCCUGGAUUCAGCGGCGGACGGGUGAGUAAUGCCUAGGAAUCUGCCUGGUAGCGGGGGAUAACGUCCGGAAACGGGCGCUAAUACCGCAUACGUCCUGAGGGAGACAGUGGGGGAUCUUCGGACCUCACGCUAUCAGAUGAGCCUAGGUCGGAUUAGCUAGUUGGGGGGGUAAAGGCCUACCAAGGCGACGAUCCGUAACUGGUCUGAGAGGAUGAUCAGUCAGACGGGAACUGAGACACGGCCCAGACUCCUACAGGAGGCAGCGGUGGGGAAUAUUGGGCGAGGGGGGAGAGCCUGAUCCAGCCAUGCCGCGGGUGUGAAGAAGGUCUUCGGAUUGGAAAGCACUGUAAGUUGGGAGGAAGGACAGUAAGUUAAUACCGGGCUAUUAUGACGGUACCAACAGAAUAAGCACCGGCUAACUUCGUG